rnacentral:rRNA from 1 species
GAUGAACGCUGGCGGCGUGCCUAAUACAUGCAAGUCGAGCGGACGGACGAGAAGCUUGCUUCUCUGAUGUUAGCGGCGGACGGGUGAGUAACACGUGUAUAACCUACCUAUAAGACUGGGAUAACUUCGGGAAACCGUAUCUAAUACCGGAUAAUAUUUUGAACCGCAUGGUUCAAAAGUGAAAGACGGUCUUGCUGUCACUUAUAGAUGGAUCCGCGCUGCAUUAGCUAGUUGGUAAGGUAACGGCUUACCAAGGCGACGAUGCAUAGCCGACCUGAGAGGGUGAUCGGCCACACUGGAACUGAGACACGGUCCAGACUCCUACGGGAGGCAGCAGUAGGGAAUCUUCCGCAAUGGGCGAAAGCCUGACGGAGCCACGCCGCGUGAGUGAAGAAGGUCUUCGGAUCGUAAAACUCUGUUAUUAGGGAAGAACAUAUGUGUAAGUAACUGUGCACAUCUUGACGGUACCUACUCAGAAAGCCACGGCUAACUACGUG